GCCCCCGUAGCUCAGUUGGAUAGAGCAUCUGCCUUCUAAGCAGAGGGCCGCAGGUUCGAGCCCUGCCGGGGGUA
rnacentral:tRNA from 1 species